AGCUCCAAUAGCGUAUAUUAAAGUUGUUGCAGUUAAAAAGCUCGUAGUUGGAUUUCUGGUUUGGGUGUCCGGUCCGCUCGUAACUUGUUUGCGAGUGCGUACUAUGGAUGUUCGGACCAUUUUUUGUGAGGAACUUUACCUGUCAUUAAGUUGAUGGGUUUAGGGACUUGCAUCGUUUACUGUGAAAAAAUUAGAGUGUU
rnacentral:rRNA from 1 species